rnacentral:rRNA from 1 species
ACCCUGCGAAGGCAAGCAAACCCCAAAAAAAGACCAUCCCAGUUCGGAUUGCAGUCUGAAACUCGAGUGCAUGAAGCUGGAAUCGCUAGUAAUCGCAAAUCAGAAUGUCGCGGUGAAUACGUUCCCGGGUCUUGUACACACCGCCCGUCACACCAUGGGAGUCAGUAACGCCCGAAGCCGGUGACCUAACCGAAAGGGAGGAGCCGUCGAAGGUGGGACCGAUAACUGGGGUGAAGUCGUAACAAGGUAAC